rnacentral:rRNA from 1 species
AUGCCGCUCCGGUUGGAUAUCAAGAGGAAGCUCGCGCAGAGGUCGGAGAGGGUCAAGUCCGCGGAUCUGCAUCCGACAGAGCCAUGGAUUUUGUCGAGUCUUUACUCGGGGAGUGUCUGCAUCUGGAACUACCAAACGCAGACAAUGGUGAAAUCAUUUGAAGUCACAGAGUUACCAGUUCGUUCGGCUAAAUUUAUUGCACGGAAGCAAUGGGUUGUUGCUGGUGCCGAUGAUAUGUUUAUCCGUGUGUACAAUUACAAUACAAUGGAUAAGGUCAAGGUAUUUGAAGCUCAUACUGAUUACAUCAGGUGUGUGGCUGUUCAUCCAACCCAGCCUUUUGUGCUGUCAUCAUCCGAUGACAUGUUAAUUAAGCUUUGGGAUUGGGAUAAGGGUUGGGUGUGCACUCACAUAUUUGAGGGGCAUUCUCACUAUGUGAUGCAAGUCACAUUUAACCCAAAGGAUACCAAUACUUUUGCUAGUGCUUCCCUUGAUCGCACGAUAAAGAUAUGGAGUAUUGGUUCUCCUGAUCCUAACUUCACAUUAGAUGGCCACUCAAAAGGCGUGAACUGUGUUGAUUACUUCACCGGUGGUGAUCGACCAUUUUUAAUUACUGGAUCUGAUGAUCAGACUGCAAAGGUUUGGGAUUACCAAACCAAGAGCUGUGUUCAAACACUUGAAGGACAUGCACACAAUGUGUCCGCUGUCUGUUUCCAUCCAGAACUACCUAUUAUAAUUACUGGCUCAGAGGAUGGCACAGUUCGCUUGUGGCACUCUACAACCUACAGGCUUGAGAACACUCUUAAUUAUGGUCUUGAGCGAGUUUGGGCUUUAGGAUACAUGAAGGGGUCAAGAAGGAUUGUGAUUGGAUAUGAUGAAGGGACAAUUAUGAUAAAAAUUGGCCGUGAAGUUCCGGUUGCUAGCAUGGACAACAGUGGAAAAAUCAUAUGGGCGAAACAUAACGAAAUCCAAACUGUUAAUAUCAAGACUGUUGGUGCAGGCAAUGAGAUUGCGGAUGGUGAGCGAUUACCGUUGGCUGUGAAGGAGCUGGGAAGCUGUGAUCUUUAUCCACAAAACUUAAGGCACAAUCCCAACGGGAGAUUUGUUGUUGUAUGUGGAGAUGGAGAAUACAUAAUUUAUACAGCACUAGCAUGGAGAAAUAGAUCAUUUGGGUCUGCACUUGAAUUCGCUUGGUCAUCUGAUGGCGAAUACGCUGUAAGGGAAAGCACCUCAAGGAUAAAGAUAUACAGUAAAAAUUUCCAGGAGAGGAAAAGUAUAAGACCAACAUUCUCCGUCGAACGUGUGUUUGGUGGAGUAUUAUUGGCUAUGUGUACAAAUGAUUUCAUCUGCUUUUACGACUGGGCGGAUUGCAGGUUGAUACGUCGAAUUGAUGUCAACGUGAAGAAUCUCUACUGGGCUGACAGUGGUGAUUUGGUGACAGUUGCAAGUGAUACAUCAUUCUACAUUUUGAAGUACAAUAGGGAUGUUGUAUCUUCUCAUUUGGACGGAGGGGGUUCAGUUGGUGAGGAAGGUGUGGAAGAUGCCUUUGAACUGCUUCAUGAGAUCAAUGAACGCAUCCGAACUGGGCUAUGGGUUGGCGAUUGUUUUAUCUACAAUAAUUCUUCAUCACGGCUUAAUUACUGUGUAGGAGGAGAGGUCACAACCUUAUUUCACUUGGACCGGCCAAUGUAUUUACUAGGAUAUCUUGCUAACCAGAGCCGUGUCUAUCUUAUUGACAAGCAAUUUAAUGUUGUUGGGUACACUCUACUCCUUAGUUUGAUCGAGUAUAAAACACUAGUGCUGCGUGGGGAUUUUGAUCGUGCAAAUGAUAUUUUGCCAUCUAUACCGAAGGAACAAUAUGACAGUGUGGCACAUUUCUUGGAAUCACGGGGCAUGUUGGAGGAAGCCCUUGAGAUAGCAACGGACUCUAAUUACAGAUUUGACCUGGCUGUUCAGCUUGGCCGCGUUGAUGAUGCAAAGGCAAUUGCUCUUGAGGUGCAAAGUGAGUCCAAGUGGAAGCAGUUAGGGGAGUUAGCUAUCUCAACUGGAAAGCUCGAGAUGGCAGAGGAGUGCCUUCUACAUGCACUAGAUCUCAGCGGUCUAUUGCUUUUGUAUUCAUCCAUUGGGGAUGCUGAUGGGAUAACAAAAUUGGCAUCUAUGGCUAGAGAACAAGGAAAGAACAAUGUUGCGUUCCUUUGUUUGUUCAUGCUAGGCAAGUUGGAGGAAUGCCUUCAAUUGUUGAUUGAAAGCAAUCGCAUUCCGGAAGCAGCAUUGAUGGCGAGAUCUUAUCUUCCAAGCAAAGUCCCUGAGAUUGUAGCAUUAUGGAAAAAAGAUCUCCAAAAGGUAAACUCAAAAGCAGCAGAGUCAUUGGCAGAUCCUGAUGAGUACCCAAACUUAUUUGAAGACUGGCAGAUUGCUCUCAAUGUAGAAGCUACUGUCGCCCCCAAAAGGGGUAUCUAUCCACCUGCUGAGGAAUACAUGAUUCAUUCUGAAAGGCCCAAUGAGAGUCUUGUGGAAGCUUUCAAGAACAUGCAUGUACAAGAAGAGGAGGACGUACAUGAAGAGGAUGUACACGAUGAAGAGGAGCUAACAAAUGAAAAUGACACUGUUCAAGAGGUUUUUGAAGAUGACGGAGCAGAAGAGAGCCAAGAAGAUGCUGUUGAGGUCGAGGCUGAUGGUUCUACUGAUGGCACUAUCCAUGUGAAUGGAAAUGAUAGUGAGGAACAGUGGGGUACGAACAAAGAAGAACCAUCAGCAUAA